CUGAGAACUUCUUCGACACCGGCUUAGGCUUCGUCCUCUGGAUUAUCCUGCCUUCCUUUAUCUGCUCACGUGACUGGCUGGAACCAACCCCAUUCUCUGGGCACGGACUGAACUUUAAGACCAGAGAUUCCUGCCUAAGAUGCCAUAGCUGUUCUCUGCAGUUCUGUCUUAAAUAAACGUUUUGUUAAACUUAACUGUCUCUCCACCUUGAAUAACAGGUCCUUUUGU